CAUAUUGCGCAAUGGAGGAAACUCUGACGCAGCGACGCCGCGUUAGCGUUGAAGGUCUUUGGAUCGUAAAGCUCUGUCCUAGGGGAAGAAGGUCUUCGGACUUGACGGUACCCUUUGAGGAAGCCCCGGUUAACCACGUUCCAUCAGCCGCGGUAAUACGUAGGUGGCAAGCGUUAUCCGGAACUAUUGGGCGUAAAGCGCGCGCAGGCGGUUUCUUAAGUCUGAUGGGAAAGCCCACGGCUCAAACGUGGAGGGUCAUUGGAAACUGGGAAGCUUGAGUGCAAAAGAGGAGAGUGGAAUUCCAUGUGUAGCGAUGAAAUGCGUAGAGAUAUGGAGGAACACCAGUGGCGAAGGCGACUCUCUGGUCUGCAACUGACGCUGAGGCGCGAAAGCGUGGGGAGCGAACA
rnacentral:rRNA from 1 species